UGGGGAAUCUUGCACAAUGGGGGAAACCCUGAUGCAGCGACGCCGCGUGAGCGAUGAAGCCCUUCGGGGUGUAAAGCUCUUUCGGCUGGAACGAUAAUGACGGUACCAGCAGAAGAAGCUGCGGCUAACUACGUGCCAGCAGCCGCGGUAAUACGUAGGCAGCGAGCGUUGUUCGGAGUUACUGGGCGUAAAGAGUGCGUAGGCGGUGCGGCAAGUCUGGUGUGAAAUCUCCCGGCUUAACUGGGAGGGUGCGCUAGAAACUGCCGUGCUAGAGUGUGGGAGAGGUAAGCGGAAUUCCUGGUGUAGCGGUGAAAUGCGUAGAUAUCAGGAGGAACACCUGCGGUGUAGACAGCUUACUGGACCAUAACUGACGCUGAGGCACGAAAGCGUGGGUAGCAAACAGG
rnacentral:rRNA from 1 species